rnacentral:rRNA from 1 species
AUAAUCAUUUGCCUUAUAAUUGAAGGCUAGUAUGAAUGGUUUGACGAGAGCAACACUGUCUCCCUUUUAUUUUCAAGAACUUAACUUUUAGGUGAAGAGGCCUAAAUUUUAUUGAAGGACAAGAAGACCCUGUCGAGCUUAAAAGACAUUAUAGGAGUCUAGUAUAUUUUUAGAUAAAUUUUCUAUCAAGCUUUUUAGUUGGGGCGACUAAGGAACAAAAAAAGCUUCUUUCCAAUGAUAAACAAUCAUGUUUAGAUCCGAUAAUAGCGAUCAAAGAAAUUAGUUACCGCAGGGAUAACAGCAUAAUCUCUCUUAAGAGACCUAAUCGAAAGAGGGGGUUGUGACCUCGAUGUUGGACUAGAAUAUCCUAAAGAUGCAGAAGUCUUUGAGGGUCGGUCUGUUCGACCGUUAAAAUUCU